GCAUGACAUUGUGUUUGGAUCCCUAAACUUGCUAGGGUUGGUUGACAAAAAGUCAAAACCGCUUUCAGUUUCAAACCGGUUCGGGUUUGGAGUGGUUUGAUCGGUUUUUUCUGGUUCGGGUGGGGUUCAGAUUGGUACAGGUUGGUCAACAAAAAGUAAAAAUCGGUUUCGGUUUCGAAUAAGUUGGAGCGGUUUUGAUCGGUUUUUGCAGGUCUGGUUCGAGUUCAAACCAGUUUCAAAUAAGAGGAAAUCCAAGGGCGUAGAUUUGUGGGGGCGGGAGGGGGCGGCCGACCCCCCGAACUUUUCGUUCAAUAGUGGGGAGUAGGUAGUUUUUGUAUAGAAAUUUUUUGGGUAUAUACGUUUUUGACCCCCCGGUUUUAUAGAAAUUUGUGUUAUUACGUUUUCAACCCCCCGGUCGGAAAUCUCAAGCUUCGCCACUGCCUCCAUCUUCACCUAAUCACAACAAACAACUAGACACCCAAACCCUAAAUUUAGCGCGGGAAAUCAUCAAUUCAGAAUCCCACCCCAUCAAUACAGAUGAAUUGGAGGAAGAAGAAGAAGAAGAAAGGAGUGAGGGAGAGGGUGAAUUAGGGUUUGAAAAGCUCACAAGAGCUCAGAGAAAAAGGCUUCGAAAGAAGAAGCUAAAAGAAGCUGCUUCUCACAGGAGACAGAUUAUCGGGCCGCAGUUGAAUCCGGAUCAUACGUGUGGUGAUCGAAUCGAUAGUGAAGGUAGUAGCGUUCGUGAAGAUGAAGAUAAACAUGAACAUGAACAUGAACGUCUGGAGGGUGUUCGACGAAAUGCCGCAGAGAAACCUUAGAGUGUUAUUGUCAUAUUAUACUGGAAAGAAUUAGUAUUGUAUUGUUAUUAUUUGGUAUUUGAUU
rnacentral:lncRNA from 1 species